AGCGAACGCUGGCGGCAGGCCUAACACAUGCAAGUCGAACGGAUCCUUCGGGAUUGGUGCCGGACGGGGGGGUACACGGGGGGAACGUGCCUUUGGGUCGGGAAAACCUAGGGGAAACUUGACCUAAAACGGGUGUUGCCCUCGGGGGAAAGGUUUAUCGCCAUUGGAGCGGCCCGCGUCUGAUUAGCUAGGUGGUGAGGUAACGGGCCACCAAGGGGACGAUCAGUAACUGGUCUGAGAGGAUGAUCAGCCACACUGGGACUGAGACACGGCCCAGACUCCUACGGGAGGCAGCAGUGGGGAAUCUUGCGAAAUGGGCGAAAGCCUGACGCAGCCAUGCCGCGUGAAUGAUGAAGGUCUUAGGAUUGUAAAAUUCUUUCAGCGGGGACGAUAAUGACGGUACCCGCAGAAGAAGCGCCGGCUAACUUCGUG
rnacentral:rRNA from 1 species